GAUGAACGCUGACAGAAUGCUUAACACAUGCAAGUCAACUUGGUGGCGGACGGGUGAGUAACGCGUAAAGAACUUGCCUCACAGAUAGGGACAACAUUUGGAAACGAAUGCUAAUACCUGAUACUGUGAGAGCGCUUUGCGUCCCAUUAGCUAGGUGGAGAGGUAACGGCUCACCAAGGCGAUGAUAGGUAGCCGGCCUGAGAGGGUGAUCGGCUAGAAGGGGACUGAGACACGGACCAAACUCCUACGGGAGGAAGCAGUGAGGAGUAUUGGUGAAUGGAUGCAAAUCUGAACCAGCCAAGUAGCGGGCAGAAUGACGGCCUAUGGGUGGAAAACUGCUUUUAUGGGAGAAUAUGUAUCACAUGAAUAAGGACCGGCUAAUUCCGUGCCAGCAGCCGCGGUAAUUC
rnacentral:rRNA from 1 species